AAAGGAACCGACAGGAGUUUCACUAUGGUAUAGUAGGUCUUCCUCUGAUGACCCUGAAAGGUUAUAUAACUGCUCUCCAUGCAUGAUGGAGUUCAGAUCUUUUGCAAGCUUUUCUACAGGUGAAGGCUUCGGACGGGUAACACAGCUCCUCUUUCUUGAUGGCACUAGGGACUCCCAAGCAUGUGACUGUGCUGAACCUGAAUUGGCAAUACAUCAGAGAGUCAAAUGACAUAAUAGAACAAAGAAAAUAAGGUAAGUUCUACAUAAGCACAGUAAAUGUUGAGAAUCAUUAUUAGAUAUUUAUUUUGUUUCGUGGUUCAAUUUCAUUAGAUAUCACUUCAGAGAUGUGAUUAAGGUAUACACGCUAUUGGCAAAUCUUGUGAAUCGGUAUUAGACCUUUAUGGUGUUUCAUGGCGCUGAAGUGAUUAAAUAUCACUUCAGAGAUGCGGUAAAGGGAGACACACUAUUAGUACCU
rnacentral:lncRNA from 1 species